rnacentral:rRNA from 1 species
UAGUGGCGAACGGGUGAGUAACACGUGAGUAACCUGCCCUUAACUCUGGGAUAAGCCUGGGAAACUGGGUCUAAUACCGGAUAUGACUCCUCAUCGCAUGGUGGGGGGUGGAAAGCUUUUGUGGUUUUGGAUGGACUCGCGGCCUAUCAGCUUGUUGGUGAGGUAAUGGCUCACCAAGGCGACGACGGGUAGCCGGCCUGAGAGGGUGACCGGCCACACUGGGACUGAGACACGGCCCAGACUCCUACGGGAGGCAGCAGUGGGGAAUAUUGCACAAUGGGCGCAAGCCUGAUGCAGCGACGCCGCGUGAGGGAUGACGGCCUUCGGGUUGUAAACCUCUUUCAGUAGGGAAGAAGCGAAAGUGACGGUACCUGCAGAAGAAGCGCCGGCUAACUACGUGCCAG